UGAAUACUAAUCGGGCUCUUAACCCACUGAGCCAUCAUGGGAACUCCGAGUGUGUCUACAUCUUUUGAAACUCUUUGCCUCACUGGAGGAAGGAUGCUCGCCAGGCCACCUGUGACUACAACGUGGAGUCCUGGGAGGCAGGAUCCAGGAGGGGCCUUCAAAGUGUGGUUUUUUCCACCUAGACAACAACCGGGCCAAUAACUGCACUAGAUCCUGGGAGGCUGCCUACGGGGGGCUGCCCGUGGCACCUCCUCUAGGCAGGAGAACUGUGUUAAGAACCAGGAUUCUGAAGCCUCACUAUCUGGGUCCAACUCCUGUGUGCGGCAGGACGGGACCCCGUGGAGGACGUUCCCCUCCCAAGGCCAGGAGGGAGGGCCUCCACUCCAGGCAGGCCUGCCCUACAUGAACCACCACUGUCACCGUCCCUGUGGGAGUCUGCUCUGUGCCAGCUACCCUUUCGGUAACUCACUAACCCUCCCAAGCUCUCCAAGAUGCCUCCUUUCAUUUUAUAGCAGUUCCUGGCCCUGGAGAGUUCCGUGUUGCUCACGAUCCCAAAUAAGGCCGAAGAAAACUCGGGUAGGAAGUUGAGCAAGAAGCUGCACGUUGCCUGCCCAAAUCCAACCUCCCCUCCUCUCGAGGUGACCAGAUGAGCAGCUGAAAGACUACAUUUCCCACUUCCUGGCAAACGGGAUGGCCAGUGACAUCCAAGCAGAAGCGGUUGGGCAGGAUUUCCAAUAAAACUCCGAAAGAG